rnacentral:tRNA from 1 species
GGCCCAAUGGUCUAGAGGUAUGAUUCGCCCUUCGGGUUUCACGAUCCGUGUGCACAGCACAUYAAUUGGGCGAGGCCCCGCGUUCGAAUCGCGGUUGGGCCC